rnacentral:rRNA from 1 species
GAUGAACGCUGGCGGCGUGCCUAAUACAUGCAAGUCGAGCGAACGGGCGAGACGCUUGUUUCUUUGAUGUUAGCGGCGGACGGGUGAGUAACACGUGGAUACCCUACCUAUCAUACUGGGAUAUCUUCGGGAAACCGGAUCUAAUACCGGAUAAUCUUUUGAACCGUAUUGUUCAUAAGUGAAAGACGGUCUUGCUGUCUCUUAUAGAUGGAUCCGCGCUGCAUUAGCUAGUUGGUACGGUACCGGCUUACCAAGGCAACGAUGCAUAGCCGACCUGAGAGGGUGAUCGCCCACACAGAAACUGAGACGCCAUACAGACUCUGACGUGCGGCAGCAGUAGCGAAGCUUGCGCAAUGGGCGGAAGCCUGACGAAGCAACGGAGCGCGGGUGAAGAAGGUCUGCGGAUCGUAAAACUCUGUUAUUAGGGAAGAACAUAUGUGUAAGUAACGGUGCACAUCUGGACGGUACCGAAUCAGAAAGCCACGGCAAACUACGG